rnacentral:rRNA from 1 species
GACAGAGGUGCCAAGCGUUAGGCGGAAUCACUGGGCUUAAAGCGUGUGUAGGCGGAUUGGCAAGUACCUUGUGAAAUCCCACGGCUCAACCGUGGAACUGCUUGGUAUACUGCUUUUCUUGAGCCACUUAGGGGCAACCGGAACAAACGGUGGAGCGGUGAAAUGCGUAGAUAUCGUUUGGAACGCCAAUGGUGAAAACAGGUUGCUGGGAGUGUGCUGACGCUGAGACACGAAAGCCAGGGGAGCAAACGGG